AAGCAGUGGCUGCAUGAGAGGAGUCAUUGUGCAUGUAGAGAGAGAGAGGAAGAGGGAGAGAAGAGGAGAGAUGGCCGGGAAGCCACAUCAUGGAGUCAUGGGUGACACCUUGAGAGAGAGAACAACUCUGUGCCCCACUGGGGCCGGCUGGGAGUUUGUGGGGCAGAACGUCAGCAGAGCCGCGGGCGAGCUCCACACUGAGGGAAAUGACAGCCUCCAGGCCAGCAUUGGUUGAUGACCGUGAAACUCUUGCGGUUAACGUAAAGCGAGCGAGAGGCUGCCACAGCGAGAACUGUGAGGCUGUGUGCAGUUCUGCCAGCAACACAAGCCCCUCUCCAACUGCUCUGCAGUACAGAAACAAAACAACAGAGUCCGUGUUACAAUUCCUAACACCAGCAGCUAUGCCAUCCAAGGAGGCUGGGCUGAGAGACGCUGCAGCUGUCUGGGCCGGGACAGGAGAGUGUGACAGCGCCCUCCUCUGGUGAUGGAGGGUCCAUUAGUCUGCUUAUUAGCCCACCUGUCACCACUACGACACCAUCUCACCUGGAGGUGCCUCCAGCACACUAAUGUGCAGAUCUACCCUUGCCCCAUCACAACAAUACUUUGGUAAUAGAAGUAAUGGCUCUAUGCUUCUGUGAUCCACACGUCCUUGAUCAUCAUGAGGUUGUUUCCAACCUGGUAACAACAUAACAACUCAUCCAUGAGAGACAUGCACCUCAGUGGACUCAUGAUUGCUUGAACAAUGAAGCCAUUAACACCACAUUAUGUAAAUGGUAAUGGACAAAAACAUCUAAUAGGAUAAAGGCUUAAGUACAGUGCAAUAUAAUGCCGCUGACUUUAACUGGCUCUUUGAAUGAUGUUUUCAAUUAUAACCUUGCUAAUGUAAUUCAUUGUUUCACAGC